rnacentral:ncRNA from 1 species
UGCGCAACGCGUGUUUCAAGACAAUGUCGGAAAACUUGACACCCUUGAGCCGGGCCGUGCGGAUGUAUUGCGCGGUCAUCACCUCGGUCAUGGACGCCCGCGUCAUCCGUGCGAUGUAGCCCAUGCCAUAGAGGGAAAUGGUCAGUACCGGCAGGGUGAAAUUCUCAAAUGUGGCGUUC